GCGAGAAACCUUUGCAAUGUGCGCAAGCACGACAAGGUUAAUCCGAGUGUUUCCUGCUUAAGGAAUCUUUUGUUAGUUGUAAAACCACUAAUGAAUAAGGGGUGGGCAAGUUCUGGUGUCAGCCGCCGCGGUAAAACCAGCACCUCAAGUGGUCAGGAUGAUUAUUGGGCCUAAAGCAUCCGUAGCCUGUUCCAUAAGUUUCCGGUUAAAUCCAUUAGCUCAACUAAUGGGCUGCCGAAAAUACUGUGGAACUAGGAAGUGGGAGAGGUAGACGGUACUCGGUAGGAAGGGGUAAAAUCCUUUGAUCUAUUGAUGACCACCUGUGGCGAAGGCGGUCUACCAGAACACGUUCGACGGUGAGGGAUGAAAGCUGGGGGAGCAAACCGGAUUAGAUACCCCCGUAGUCC
rnacentral:rRNA from 1 species